UACAGAGGUCUCAAGCGUUGUUCGGAUUCAUUGGGCGUAAAGGGUGCGUAGGUGGCGCGCUAAGUCAGGUGUGAAAUUCGGAGCUUAACUCCGAAACUGCAUUUGAUACUGGCGUGCUUGAGGACUGGAGAGGAGACUGGAAUUCAUGGUGUAGCAGUGAAAUGCGUAGAGAUCAUGAGGAAGACCAGUGGCGAAGGCGGGUCUCGUGGACAGUUCCUGACACUGAGGCACGAAGGCCAGGGGAGCAAACGGG
rnacentral:rRNA from 1 species